GCCGGUGUGGCGGAAUUGGCAGACGCGCGUGACUCAAAAUCACGUUCCCUCGUGGAGUGCCGGUUCGAGCCCGGCCACCGGUA
rnacentral:tRNA from 1 species